AUAGCGUACGCUCAACCUCCGCAACAGGACAAGUCUUCGAAACGGGGCGUUGUGGCGGUCGACGUCGAAACACCAUCCGAUCACAUUAAAACCAAUAAGGUCUCACUUUCAUUUCGCCUUUGGGUUUCGUAUCCCCAUUGACUCGCGUAUACUAUAAACUCCUUGGUCUUUGUUUCAAUACGGGUCAAAUGGGUCAUUGACUAUAUUCGAGAAAAGGCUUGAGUACACCCGUACGCCGGGUAAACCCCUAAGCGCCGCACGCAUGAUUACAACAAGAACCGGCCCAAUCCACAUACAAGCACGAAAAAAACCCGCAAUUCCACGGAACCGGGCACCGGUACCAAACUCCAAGGGACAAGGUUUCGGGACCGAAGUUAUGUCCUCUUGAUCAAUUUCAAUCGACACCAGCACACGACUCGGCGAACUCCGCACGCAAAUGCACUAUCUGAGACCCCAACCAUACCAAACGGAAAGCCUUGCGUAAUACCACGCCCGGCAGUAACCACCGCCGACGACGGAAUACGUCCCGAAUACGUCAACUCCGGAUGCUU
rnacentral:rRNA from 1 species